CCAGCUCCAAUAGCGUAUAUUAAAGUUGUUGCAGUUAAAAAGCUCGUAGUUGAAUUUUGGGCCUGGCUGAAUGGUCUUACUUCACUGUAUGUACUUUUUAGUCGGGUCUUUCCUUCUAGGGAACCUUGCGGUAUUAGUUUAUUGCAUGGGGAUCUAGGACUUUUACUUUGAAAAAAUUAGAGUGUUCAAAGCAGGCAUUUGCUCGAAUACAUUAGCAUGGAAUAAUAGAAUAGGACCUUGGUUCUAUUUUGUUGGUUUUCAGGACCGAGGUAAUGAUUAAUAGGGAUAGUUGGGGGCAUUAGUAUUUAAUUGUCAGAGGUGAAAUUCUUGGAUUUAUGAAAGACUAACUUCUGCGAAAGCAUUUGCCAAGGAUGUUUUCA
rnacentral:rRNA from 1 species